AUUGAACGCUGGCGGCAUGCCUUACACAUGCAAGUCGAACGGUAACAGGUCUUCGGAUGCUGACGAGUGGCGCACGGGUGAGUAAUACAUCGGAACGUGCCCGAUCGUGGGGGAUAACGAAGCGAAAGCUUUGCUAAUACCGCAUACGAUCUACGGAUGAAAGCGGGGGAUCUUCGGACCUCGCGCGGACGGAGCGGCCGAUGGCAGAUGAGGUAGUUGGUGGGAUAAAAGCUUACCAAGCCGACGAUCUGUAGCUGGUCUGAGAGGAUGAUCAGCCACCCUGGGACUGAGACACGGCCCAGACUCCUACGGGAGGCAGCAGUGGGGAAUUUUGGACAAAGGGCGCAAGCCUGAUCCAGCCAUGCCGCGUGCAGGAUGAAGGCCUUCGGGUUGUAAACUGCUUUUGUACGGAACGAAAAGGUGCCUUCUAAUAAAGGGCGCUCAUGACGGUACCGUAAGAAUAAGCACCGGCUAACUACGUG
rnacentral:rRNA from 1 species